UCAAUCGAAAUUUAUAUUUUGAUGGAUUUUCUUUACAAUCUUCCAGACUCAUGUAAUUAAUAUUUUAUAAAUAUGAGGUAUUUAUUUUUCACAUAUGCUGCAUCUUACUUUUGUAAUGAUUAUGAUAAACUUCAUAAAUCAGAAAAAUAGCUUUAGAGUUAUGAUGAGAUCAUACCUAUGAGACCUAAAAUCCUAAAAAUUUUGAUUUAGAAUAUUUCUAAUUAUAGGAGCAUUGAGUAGG
rnacentral:lncRNA from 1 species